rnacentral:lncRNA from 1 species
CUCCAGGAAGGAGGCGAUAAGAAAGCUGCGGGUGGGCCUGACCUGUGCCAGAGCUGCCAACCCCUUGGAGGAGGUGACAGGGGACAUCUGGCAGGUGCAGAGAUGGAGAAACCAGAACCCACCUGUUCUCUGGGAGCCCAAGCAAGGGACGCAAGGGAACCAGCUACAGAAUAAUUAUAAUGCCUCCCAAGCUCAACGAUUCCCAAGGUGUGGAGGGCACACGUGUGUAAAAUGGGAAGUGGUAUUGGAGCACAUGUGGACAUGGCAUAAAUAACACUGAAUCACAAAGGACAGAGUCACGCCCUUUUCAAUGAUCUUUUAACCCUUCAGAUAAAGCACAGAGAAUGUCUCAGUUUGGUGCUAACAGGUCUUUAACACCUUUCUUGAAUCCCACCUCCUCUAAAAGGAAAAAAGAAGAUAGAGACCCAAGUCUCCAGCUGUAAUAAUAUUGAGCCAGAAAUUGGAAACAUUGCUUUCAUUGUAU